AGAGUUUGAUCCUGGCUCAGGACGAACGCUGGCGGCGUGCCUAAUACAUGCAAGUCGAGCGGACUUAAAAAGCUUGCUUUUUAAGUUAGCGGCGGACGGGUGAGUAACACGUGGGCAACCUGCCUGUAAGACUGGGAUAACUUCGGGAAACCGGAGCUAAUACCGGAUAAUCCUUUUCUACUCAUGUAGAAAAGCUGAAAGACGGUUUACGCUGUCACUUACAGAUGGGCCCGCGGCGCAUUAGCUAGUUGGUGAGGUAACGGCUCACCAAGGCGACGAUGCGUAGCCGACCUGAGAGGGUGAUCGGCCACACUGGGACUGAGACACGGCCCAGACUCCUACGGGAGGCAGCAGUAGGGAAUCUUCCGCAAUGGACGAAAGUCUGACGGAGCAACGCCGCGUGAGUGAUGAAGGUUUUCGGAUCGUAAAACUCUGUUGUUAGGGAAGAACAAGUACGAGAGUAACUGCUCGUACCUUGACGGUACCUAACCAGAAAGCCACGGCUAACUACGUGCCAGCAGCCGCGGUAAUACGUAGGUGGCAAGCGUUGUCCGGAAUUAUUGGGCGUAAAGCGCGCGCAGGCGGUCCUUUAAGUCUGAUGUGAAAGCCCACGGCUCAACCGUGGAGGGUCAUUGGAAACUGGGGGACUUGAGUGCAGAAGAGAAGAGUGGAA
rnacentral:rRNA from 1 species